rnacentral:rRNA from 1 species
GUUUAUCCAGUUUUGAAAGAAUAAUUCUUUUAACCAAGGGUUUCAAGAUACGAGUAGUUCGAGGAAGCGAUGGAGAGAAGGAAGGAGCGUACUCAAGUACGUGACUGACUGAACGACAGAAGCUGACGAAGAAAUACGAUGUAUAUUGAAAGCCGAUAAUAGUCUAGUGAUGAUGGCAAAGAGGUCACACCCGUUCCCAUACCGAACACGGAAGUUAAGCUCUUUAGCGCCGAUGGUAGUUGGGGGCUUCCCCCUGUGAGAGUAGGACGUCGCUAGGC